rnacentral:tRNA from 1 species
GGGCGUUUAGCUCAGCUGGGAGAGCGCCUGCCUUACAAGCAGGAUGUCGGGGGUUCAAAUCCCUCAACGCCCA